ACAGCAAGAAUCUGUCAGAACUUUUUUCGAGGCUCAUCCAAUCGCGUUGAUUGAUUUCGGUCAACGCCCUUUAACGACGCAGCGAGCUCAGUCUUUUUCAGAUGGCGGGCCAGCGAUGACGAGACCCCUCGAAAGGUCACUUUUGUCUUUAAAUGAGACGUUCAGCUGUUGUUUGACUUUUAAAACAAUCAGCGAUUCCAGGAAGAAAUCAACAAGCACAAAGACGAGAGGCGAGAAGAGAAGCGCUGAAAAGAGGAAGAUGGGCUGAGGUCAGACCUCCAGCUCCCUCUAGUGGAGAAACCAGGAACAAAGACGCAGAGAUGGAAAAAAAAUAAAGGAAGAUACGACGAAAUAGAGGGAUCAAGAAAGACAUCAUGCCUCUUUUUUUUGUUUUUUUUUUCCUGAUUUGCCAUUUCUGGAGUUUCUCAAAUGCAGUAAAGGUGAGAGUUUGUAGCUUUUUUUUUGUUUUUAGUGACCUUUACUGCCCCAACAUGCUGAUUCAAUAUAUUUCAUUCAUUCACUCUUGGAUGCAACAGCUGCAUUUGUAUCCAAACGCAGUAAAGGAUCAUAUAUGUUCAACACAGCAGUAAAGUUCUUGUAUCAUCAGAUUAUUGUUCCUCUAAAUCUAUAGAAGCAAAUAUUGUGUUUUCUGGUGAUUCAAGUUCCUGUUUUGUUUAGGAUAUCAAAGAAAUGAUAAUCAGAAAAACACAGUCUUUGUACUUUUAACGGUUUUCUACUUCAGAAUAAAA